UACGGAGGGAGCUAGCGUUAUUCGGAAUUACUGGGCGUAAAGCGCACGUAGGCGGCUUUGUAAGUUAGAGGUGAAAGCCUGGAGCUCAACUCCAGAAUUGCCUUUAAGACUGCAUCGCUUGAAUCCAGGAGAGGUGAGUGGAAUUCCGAGUGUAGAGGUGAAAUUCGUAGAUAUUCGGAAGAACACCACGUGGCGAAGGACGGCUGCACAUCGGAGCUUGGGUAAU
rnacentral:rRNA from 1 species